CCUACGGGUGGCAGCAGUGAGGAAUAUUGGUCAAUGGACGGAAGCCUGAACCAGCCAUGCCGCGUGCAGGAUGACUGCUCUAUGAGUUGUAAACUUCUUUUGUACAAGAGUAAACAUGAGUACGUGUAUUGAGCUGAAUGUACUUUAUGAAUAAGGAUCGGCUAACUCCUUGCCAGCAGCCGCGGUAAUACGGAGGAUCCAAGCGUUAUCCGGCUUUAUUGGGUGUAAAGGGAGCGUAGGUGGGUUGUUAAGUCAGGUGUGAAAGUUUGCGGCUCAACCGUAAAAUUGCAAUUGAUACUGGCAGCCUUGAGUACAGUAGAGGUAGGCGGAAUUCGUUGUGUAGCGGUGAAAUGCUUAGAUAUCACGAAGAACUCCGAUGGCGAAGGCAGCCUACUGGACUGUAACUGACGCUGAUGCUCGAAAGUGUGGGUAUCAAACAGGAUUAGAUACCCUUGUAGUC
rnacentral:rRNA from 1 species